rnacentral:rRNA from 1 species
UACGGGGGGAGCAAGCGUUGUUCGGAUUUACUGGGCGUAAAGGGCGCGUAGGCGGUCAGCACAAGUCAGUUGUGAAAUCUCCGGGCUUAACUCGGAACGGUCAACUGAUACUGUGCGACUAGAGUGCAGAAGGGGCAACUGGAAUUCUCGGUGUAGCGGUGAAAUGCGUAGAUAUCGAGAGGAACACCUGCGGCGAAGGCGGGUUGCUGGGCUGACACUGACGCUGAGGCGCGAAAGCCAGGGGAGGCGAACGGG